rnacentral:rRNA from 1 species
GACGAACGCUGGCGGCGUGCUUAACACAUGCAAGUCGAGCGGUAAGGCCCUUUCGGGGUACACGAGCGCGAACGGGUGAGUAACACGUGGGUGACCUGCCCUCAGCUCUGGGAUAAGCCCUGGGAAACCGGGUCUAAUACUGGAUAUGACUCCAUGACGCAUGUUGUGGGGUGAAAGCCUUGUGCGGCUGAGGAUGGGCCC